GGAAGUGCCUGUGUGUGAUGUGUGUUAAGUGUUGGGUUUGGUAACAGGUUGAGGAAGAACUAGAAAUUUGCAACUUCUGUAAAGUCUUUUGUUCCCUAUUAAAAACCCUCUGUGCAUAUCAAAUGAGAUUAAUCCAUGAAUUCAUGGAAUAAACACUGAGCUGCUACCAAGUCCUGGGCAAUGUUGUUUGCACUGGAGAUACAAACAGUGAACAAAUGAGCAUCCCUCCUCCUCAGGUCCCCACUGCGAGGAGGAACGUGCAGAGGCCCAGAUGGGAAGGAGGCCUGGGACAGCUGAGGCUCUCUGGGACCUGGACCUCUUUGUUGCUCCUGCUUUGGCCUGAAAAGCUCCCCUGAGCCUUCAGGAAGGGCAUGCAGCCAAAGGCCCAUCGAGAAGGAAUGGUAGCUCCCAGUCAUUGAGGACUUACCUUGUGUUGGAGGCCUUGUGUGUACUUCCCAACACACCUGUAUGGUGUGGACGAUGACUGAUUGACACAGGGGGACAAAGCCUGGCCUGCUUACCUCAAGGGGGGACAACUCUGGACCAUUCACCCCCCGGAGUUCCCCAUGGGAUCAGGCUGAGGUUAGACUCUGCUCAGACUCCAUCCUUGUGGAGCAUCUUCCCCGCCCUGUCCUGCUUCCCUCCUUCCCCUUCUCCUGAGAUCAUUUCCUCAGUAAACAUGUGCUCAAGAAUCCUCGUCUCAGGCUCUGAUUCUAGAGUAUGGGAUGAGGAAUUUAAAGCCGGGUCUAGCUGAUUUCAAAGUUGGCCUGUUGAAACCCCGUGUUGUCCAUAGCUGAGUGGUGAGCUGGCAGGUGUGAACGCAUUCUUGGGGGAAGGGGGUCUUGGCUAAGGAGAGGAGAGAGUCCCAGCCUUUAGGAAGGUCUUGGUGGCUUUAUUACUCCUUCCUUCACUUGCUCCCGCCUUGCUGCUGUCUCAUUCCACAAAACAUGGCAGCAGCAACAAGCUACUCAGUUAGGUACCUCCCCAGGGGCAGGGAGAGGCAAGUUGGCGGCUACACUUGUGGAUGUGGGGACUGUGGGUCUGUAAGUCCCAUCCCCAAGGCUUCUCAGAGCGGAGAGUUAGUUACAUCUUUCAGGAGCAGGAGGCCAGAUGUGCUGCUACAGGAAUGGACUCGAAGUCCUGAGCAGCUCUUUGAGAGAGAGCAUGAGCUAAAACCCGGCAGGGAGGCUGCCUGGUGAGCAGGCUUCAGGCCUAGGCUGUGGUCCGAGGCCCCCAUUCGCAG
rnacentral:lncRNA from 1 species